rnacentral:rRNA from 1 species
UACGGAGGGGGCUAGCGUUGUUCGGAAUUACUGGGCGUAAAGCGCACGUAGGCGGCUUUGCAAGUUAGAGGUGAAAGCCCGGGGCUCAACUCCGGAAUUGCCUUUAAAACUGCAUCGCUAGAACGUCGGAGAGGUAAGUGGAAUUCCGAGUGGAGAGGUGAAAUUCGUAGAUAUUCGGAAGAACACCAGUGGCGAAGGCGACUUACUGGACGACCGUUGACGCUGAGGUGCGAAAGCGUGGGGAGCAAACAGG